UCCUUGGCUGCGGCGCCCUCGCUCUCGCUGCUCAUCCCGGCGAUAUUCCCGCUGGGAGCAGGGCGAUCCCCGGAUCCCCGGAGCGGGCUGAGGCUCUGCGGAAGGAGGAUGAGGAGGAUGCCGCUCUGGGAGGCUUCGGGAGGCGGAGGUUCUGGGAUCCCUGCAGGGACAGCUCCCAUGGGCCGCAGGAGCUGCUGGAACCCCCUCGUGCUGGCGGUGGGGACGCAGGGCAGGAGUGGCACCCGUCCCCUCCCGAGGCAGGAUUGUCCCUGGAUGGUUCCUCCGAGCCUCGCCCGGGCGUUGGAUGCUCCCUUCUGUCAGCAGCGGGAAUGGCAGGGCCGUUCCUGCUCCUCCCAAAUCCCGUGGAUUUACUGCUUCUGGCAUCUCCUGCUGGGACUGGCUCUGGCACAGGGAAUCUCCCGAGGGACAGAUGGGGAAAAGCAGCACCUGCAGCCUGAGGCUACAAUUCCCUCUUUUUCUGGGCUACUCUGAGCAUCCUGGCUCUGCGGGAGGAAGGAUUCCAUGCACUGCUGGAGGACAAAUCCUGCUGCUCUGAUGGUCCCUGCUGGAGGCUCGGGGUGAGGGACAGAGGGACAGAAGGACAGAAGGACAGCCAGGAGCAGCUCCUGAGGCCAGGACAGACUGCAGCUGGAGCAGAAGGACAGAGGGACAGCCAGGACAGCCAGGAGCAGCUCCUGAGGCCAGCAUGGACACUGCAGCUGGAGCAGAAGGACAGAGGGACAGCCAGGACAGACAGUGCUGGGCUGCACAUCCCUGCAGGAGCUGAGCUCCUCCCCGUGGGACUGACAGCGCUCAGGAGCAAUUUCUGCCGGGCUUUGGGAAUUUGGGAAUUUCCCUGUGGAUCCUGGCCGUGGACGGAUGGUGAAGAGCUCAGUGCUUUGCUCUGGCAAGGACCAAGCACUCGCCUGCUUUCCAGUGGAUAUUUUUGGUCUUUGUUUUUGCUGGUUUUGGGGGGUUUGGGUGUUUCCUGAGGAUGCUGGAGCUGCAGUGGAUCCCCUGGUGGGGACUGGAGCCUUUGGGAGCUGAGCUGGUGCUGGGGUUCCAGGCUGGCAGAGCUCAUCCUGGGCUGGGGGGGCUCAGGAGGGUCCUGGUGCCACAGCUGGAGCAUCCCAGAGGAUCCCAGGGCAGGAAUUGGGGGAAGCCAAACCCAGCAUGGGGAAUGUCACAGUGAGGGGAAGGAGUGUCACCCUCAGAGACAAUUAAACUGCAUUUAAUAAACCCCAUGGGCUCUGUGAGUGCUGGAUGCUGUUUUCCCACGUUUCCAGGGGGUUUUGGGGAUGCUUUGGGUUCUCCAGGAAACCUUGAGAAUGACAAACUCAAAUGAACAAGCACCUUCAUUUUGCAGGAAAGUUCUCCCCUGUCCUUUCCCUCUGCCCUUUCCAGCCUUUAACCACCACUGCCAUCCCUCCUGCUCCAAAAGCCACUGAAAUGCAAAUUAUUUCCCCUAAAAUCCCGUUGUUAAUUGUGCCUGGAUCCUGUUCCCUCCCACCCUGUGAGCACCAGAAGGUGCCCUGGGGGAACAGAACGUGAGAGGGAUGUUUAGG